AACGCGAAGAACCUUACCAAGGUUUGACAUGCAGGGAAAAGCCGUAGAGAUACGGUGUCCGUAAGGGUCCUGCACAGGUGGUGCAUGGCUGUCGUCAGCUCGUGCCGUGAGGUGUUGGGUUAAGUCCCGCAACGAGCGCAACCCUUACCCUUAGUUGCCACCCGCAAGGGGGAACUCUAAGGGGACUGCUCCGGAUAACGGAGAGGAAGGUGGGGAUGAGGUCAAGUCAGCAUGGCCUUUAUGUCCAGGGCUACACACGUGUUACAAUGCAUGGUACAGACCGUUGCAAACCCGCGAGGGGGAGCUAACCGGAAAAAACCAUGCUCAGUUCGGAUUGCAGUCUGCAACUCGACUGCAUGAAGCCGGAAUCGCUAGUAAUGGCGUAUCAGAACGACGCCGUGAAUACGUUCCCGGGCCUUGUACACACCGACUGUAC
rnacentral:rRNA from 1 species